rnacentral:rRNA from 1 species
ACUCCUACGGGAGGCAGCAGUGGGGAAUAUUGGACAAUGGGGGGAACCCUGAUCCAGCCAUGCCGCGUGUGUGAAGAAGGCCUUAUGGUUGUAAAGCACUUUAAGCGAGGAGGAGGGUACUGGUAUUAAUACUACCAGGUACUGGACGUUACUCGCAGAAUAAGCACCGGCUAACUCUGUGCCAGCAGCCGCGGUAAUACAGAGGGUGCGAGCGUUAAUCGGAUUUACUGGGCGUAAAGCGUGCGUAGGCGGCUAAUUGAGUCGGAUGUGAAAUCCCCCGAGCUUAACUUGGGAAUUGCAUUCGAUACUGGUUAGCUAGAGUGUGGGAGAGGAUGGUAGAAUUCCAGGUGUAGCGGUGAAAUGCGUAGAGAUCUGGAGGAAUACCGAUGGCGAAGGCAGCCAUCUGGCCUAACACUGACGCUGAGGUACGAAAGCAUGGGGAGCAAACAGGAUUAGAUACCCUGGUAGCUACGAGU